rnacentral:lncRNA from 1 species
UUCCAAAAUAGCAAUAAUGUGGUGACACAUAGCUUGCAAUCAAUUUUGAUUCAAUUCUCCCCUUUUAUACCUGUGAAAAAAGAAAAUAAAACAAAAAUUAAGAUUUAAUUUAAAGUAUUUAUGCUAGGUUUAAAAGUAAAUUAUACAACACAAUUUGUCUUUCAUAUGUUGUAAUGCGCAGUUUUAUAAAAUUAUUGGAUAGAUGGUCCCUGGUAUUACAAUUCAAUUUCUUCCAUCUGGGAAGAGUUCUAUUCAGUCUCAUUUUCAGAUACGACAACUACUUUUCUGCUAGGACCAAUAUGAUUGAUUGUAAACUAUAAUAAGUAAUAAUAAUAAUAGCAUUUAUGCUCGUGGGGUGGGGGUUGAUGUUUACUUUUGAUUCAUUAGUUUAUACAAAUGGACUUCAUUUUGUUAACAAUCAGUACAAGUGAGGCUUUGCCCUCAUGGUUUAUCCUACUUACCAAGCACAGUAGUUCUAUUAUGAUAUAAGCAAUCAAUUUUUUUUGCACUUCUUUGUACCAAGUUACUCAGCCCUAUAUAUGUUCUUGCAAAGCACUUGCUUCAAUAAAAUUUCCUAUUUUAAUCUAAAACUAAGACCCAACCUCUUUACAAACUAUAUGAAGUAUUUAAGCUGGUAAACUCAUUAGUUAAUCUCUUGCUCAGUUAAGUUACUAAGUAAAUCUGCUUAUACCUACUUGUAAUUCAACAGUUAAAAGAAUCACCUUCUAUCAUGCAUAACCAGAAAGCUUCUGUAGAUAGCAGUUGGUACUGGAGGAAGAUUCACACAAGGAAAGAAAAAAUGUGACGUUGGCAUAUGCAAGAUAGGUACAGGCUAACUAAGGGAAGUGAAUACUCAAUCACAAGGAGCUAUAUUGAUAUUAGAGGGCACCACCAUAGUUCACAUAUUGCUGAAUGCAUUUGAAGUGCAGUGGCUCAACCUAAACAUAGAUUUAUUCUAUGGUUAAUUGUCCAAGAUAGACUACUAACUAAGGAAAGGCUGAUGAAGAUGAACAUCUCAGUGGAGGAAGUUAAUUGUUGUUUAUGUGAUGCUCAGAAGCUGGAGACAGUCAAACACUUGUUCAGUGAAUGCCCAUGGAUCACUGAGGUCAACAGGGAUAUUGAACAAUGGACAUGCUUGCCUUUACAACUGGGGGAGGUGAAGGAAGUAAUGCUGAAAAUUAAAAGGAAGGAACGGAAGCAGUUUUAGAAACAAGUGAUAACUGUGAGUUGGGGGGAAAUGAUCUACCAUACUCGGAGAGCCCAGAAAUGAUUUUUUUCCAAAGGAGUACAUAUACAAAUAGUUGAGAUACACACACAAAUUAAGAGGGAGAUUUUACAUAGAAUAGAGAUACUUAGUUCAUCAAAGAGAGCUUGCAGAUGUAGUAUUUUUCUACAAAGGCUGAAAGUGUAACUAGUUUUGUGUCUUGUUGGAGGCUUGAGAUGCAGUUGUUGUGCUCAAGGGUUCUUUAGGUGUCUGUUUUCGUUUCAGUAAUGGUAAUGUUUAGAUGGUUACCAAAAAAAAGAUAGACAUUAUAUUUCUUUUGAUCUCCUACUCUCCUCAAGUUGUUGACUACCACAUCAUCUAGUAAUGUACUAAUUAACUUUACCUUUACAAAGUAACACACCUCCAAGACAACUCUAAGGAGUAAUAUAAACUUUAACAAUAACAACAUUCUAAUUAAGAGAUUAAUGAAUACUAUCAUGGAUAAUAAGAGAUCUCAAAAGUAACAACCAAGUCUAAACAUGAUUUUUUUUACUACUAAGAACUCUAACAACAAUUUCCAGGACCUUCCUUUGGAGGGUAACCGUAAAGCACACAAGUCUUUCCUAGUUAAAUGAUCUAAUAUGGUUAGACCAAAGCUGCAAGGGGGCUUGAAAAUAAGGGACCAUUGUGACACUUGCAGUAUUUGGUUUCAAGGAAUUGGUUGUCCUAAUAUGAGUUGUUUACAGCUACUACAUCAUAUACAUACUGAGACACCCCCACUUUAUGUCAAUCUUCAUUUUCUUGAAUACCUAUCAAACUAGUUGCCUCAUAUUACCAAAUUUUGCUAUCAAAAAUUAAGAAAAAGCAUACCAAACCAUCACUCAAUGAACAGUUACACUAGCAGCAAGGAGUAAGAGACUGAUAAGGAUAGGAAUUGUAAUGCUAUAAUGUUGAUAUCCAACUCACAUGGUCUUAAAAGCUACAAAAUUUUGUAAUAAGAAGGAAAUCUCCUCUUAAUCUCUAGCUACUAGAAAUGCUUCCCUCUAUAAUGUAUUAUAUCAUUUUCUACACUUUUUCCAGUAACAUUAGAAGCAACUGAAAUUUAAAGUAUUGGACAUGUUUAAUAUUGAUCUAUUUUAGGUAAGGUAUUAGCUUGUACAUCAUGAUAUAAUGAAUUUGUAUAGACUACAACUUAUUAAACAUGAAGUUUGAGCUAGCAAAAUAAAAAUAGAAAUACACCUUAAGUCAGCCUUCUGAUGGAGCGUUGCAUCAUAAAAUAUUAUAUGCAAAGUUAGAUACUAAAUGUUACAUAUUUAUAUAUUUAUUAAAAACAAUCAAAUAGAAAAUAUCAUAUAAGUUUGCAUUACUUCUAACCUUGAUGGCGAUGAGCGAGCAAAGAGUUGUAUCUUCCUAAACAUGCCUUCUUGGCGUGCUACUACAGUGUCCAACUGAGAAUUUAAUGCUUUUAUUUGUGACUGUUGGUCUUGA